GGCAAGGGGCUAAUGGUGAGAACUUCCUAGCCCUCCCAGAGGGGGGUAAAUACUAGGUUUAGAAAGACAUAAGCCAGGCCUGGCAUGGUGGUUCACCCCAUCAUACCUGCACUCAGGAGUCAGAGACAGAAAGAUCACAAGUUUGAGAUUUCAGGUGAGCCAGGACUACAUAGUGAUACUUUGUCUCCAAAAACAAAACAGAACAAAUAAAUGAGCCUCAGCACCCUGUAGUGUUUCUAGUAAACUGCCUAUAGAACAUCAAUUCCCUGUGCAUUCUGUUGGAACAUGUGUGGAUAUCAGAUGUGAGAUCAGCCUUCUCACUAACUUUCUUAGCAGACUGGGCUUAUUAAAUCAGCUCAUUUGGGGGAAGUUGAGGAUGUGUUCUGGUGACUUAUGAACAUACAGGUGUUAAGCAGUAAAUAUAGAAACUGAAGCAGAAAAGCAUUCUUGAUGGGCUCUCCAAACCUUCAGAAAAGAAGCUGUCAGAGAUGCCCAACACUACCAGGCGCUUUAUACUUGCUAGGGAGAAACAAAAGGAUAGACAGUUAUGUUGGACCAUAAAUGUGCCAUCAUCUUGUCACUUCCCAAGUAUCCACUUCAUCUCUAAAGCAAACAUCUUGAAAAAUAAAGAAGAGGCCAGAAGUCUCGGUUUGUCCUCAGAUGUUCUUCAAAAUCCAGCUUAUUGGGCACAUUGCAAGUAUCCCACUAAGCCUUCAAGUUCGGCUGUCCUUGAUUAGUCACUCUCUCCUCACUAUUGUACAUUUUCUUUGUAGAAAAUGGGAGUUUGGGGGAUUUUUUAAAUCCUGUUGGACAGUUAAGUAAUUUUGCACAGGAAUACUAGCCUAGGGCCCAGGGAAUUCCCCUAAACCACAUGGAGACUUGGUUAGCCAGACAGCAGCUCAAGUACCCUUCUGGAGAGGGUCUAGGAAUUCACAGACCCAGGUUAAUGAAAGGCUGCAGUACUACCCUGAGGGCUUAAGAGGCAGCUGAGCCGAUUAUAUCCAUUGUGAAACAAGUCUGGGAGAACUCUUAACUACUGCAAUCUACCUGCCUUUCCUCUACCUACACAGGGUGCCAGCGCUGUCUGUGUAGGAAUGAACCUUGAUGCGGCAAGCCUCCAAAUACUAAGUCAUAGCAUGAAUUUUAGAGACAUGUUUGAGCCCCAACAGACCAGGAAGAGCUCUGUGGUCCUGGCUAAGUCCCCUGAGCCUACCCACCUCUCAAUCUGCUCCCGUCUAAAAUGGGAAUAAAAGAGACACAAAAUUCUUAUAAGGACUGAUGCUGAGAAAGUUGCUAUGCACUCUGCAGGCAUAAGCUAUUCACUGCGUGUUAAGUGUCGGGCCUGGCUCUAGGAAAACCAGGUAAAAAACGCACUGGUCACAUCCGGCGUCCAAGCAUCUGGGCUGGGAUGGAUCUAGUGAAGACCCAUCAGUGUGGGCCUCCGAAAUACCGCCCACUUUCCUUCCCUGGGCCUCGGCUGCGCCAGUCGUCUCGUCGCCUUAGGGGCCACCCGAUGUCUACACCCCUUUCCCACGCAGUUCCGCGGUGGAGGAAGCCUCGGUCCUCCUGCCUCACUCCCUCAGUAUCUUUUCGCGUCCUCAUUUCCCUGUCCAAAAUAAAACCGAACGCGAACCUCGCUCUAAGCUGAAUCUCAAAAGCAGGAUCAACGCUUUGCGAGAACCGCUGGGACCGCAGGCUUGGGACGAGUCUCAUCCCGGAGGCUCCUGGGCCCAGUCCGCCGGGGAGCCGCUGCAGACCGGUCUCCUAGGACUUCUCACACAGCCUCCAGGAGCCACAUUCUGCCCAGAUCUGUUGGAAAACUACAGUUCCGAAACCUAGCGGGGAAAGCGCCUGCAGCCCCACGUGGCUCCGGUCCUGCUGCCUCUCCACUGGGAGUCCGAGAGCGUCAUGUAGGUGCUCCAUCCCCGGCCCUUCCCGAAGGUGCUCCAUCCCCGGUGCGUCCGGCAGAUGCUCCAUCCUCUGCCCGGCCCAAAGGUGCUCCAUCCCGCUCCGUUCUGCUCAACUUGGGCCCCCCGCCACACACUGUACUCGUUUUAAUGAGUUUCCUUGUGAUCAGUUAACGUUGCCUCUCUUGAUGACAUGAAAUAAAUGUGUCACGCUAAAAAAAAAAAAAAGAGAGAGAGAGAGAGAGAGCGAGCGGUUAUCUUGGACCCUUCAGUAAAGUAGUUAAAUAAACAUCUCCAAACGCGG